CAAUAGCAUCUCUCUCUCUCUCCCUCUCUCUCUCUCCCUCUCUCUCUCUCUCUCCUACCUUCCUUUCACUCAUUUUUGACACCUUCUCAUCCAAGCAAACAACAAAAUUUUCUCAGAUGCAUGCAAGGACAAGGUGGAUAUGAAGAGGCCGCGAUCGGAACGAACCACUUCAGGGACAGGAGCGGGAUCCGGAGCUACCGGGCGACGAGGAUCACAACUGCAGAUGGCCCUGCUUUCCAAAUUCACGCUUAAAAGUGUGCUAAGCCCCAUUGAAAGCAUAAGCAUACAGUUUUGCGAGAGUAGAAAACUAUCUUUAUUUCCAGUCAUCAUGUCUUCUUCAUUCUCAGAGUUAAAAGAUAGCAAAACGACAGAUCAAGAGCAUUGUUAACCUUCGAGUAGUGAGUGUCCAAGUCUACAGCCGCCCUUUGCUCAGGAGUCUUUGCCCUUAAAAAACGGACAGCAAUGGAUAUUGUUUGCCGGUCAAGCUGAAAAAUAUUGAACAUAUCAGUGACAACCAACUUCAACUGUAACCUGAAGUACAGUUUCUAGUUCAUGGGGAGUGGGAACAACGUUAAAGGUAAAUUUUAUACAACAAUGACAUGUUAUGUACAAAGCUACAAACCCUUGGUAAACAUUCGAAACCUCCUCCGGUCACAUUAAGCAAAGCCAA